rnacentral:rRNA from 1 species
AACGAACGCUGGCGGCAUGCCUAACACAUGCAAGUCGAACGAGAUCUUCGGGUCUAGUGGCGCACGGGUGCGUAACGCGUGGGAAUCUGCCCUUUGGUUCGGAAUAACAGUUGGAAACGACUGCUAAUGCCGGAUGAUGACGAAAGUCCAAAGAUUUAUCGUCAGAGGAUGAGCCCGCGUAGGAUUAGCUAGUUGGUGUGGUAAAGGCGGAGCAAGGCGACGAUCCUUAGCUGGUCUGAGAGGAUGAUCAGCCACACUGGGACUGAGACACGGCCCAGACUCCUACGGGAGGCAGCAGUGGGGAAUAUUGGACAAUGGGCGAAAGCCUGAUCCAGCAAUGCCGCGUGAGUGAUGAAGGCCUUAGGGUUGUAAAGCUCUUUGACCCGGGAUGAUAAUGACAGUACCGGGAGAAUAAGCCCCGGCUAACUCCGUGCCAGCCGCCGCGGUAA